GCACCCUAGUACAACGUAGUACGCCACUCUGAUUUAGUGGUAAUCUGAGGUUCAAGUCCUUGGGGGUGCAC
rnacentral:tRNA from 3 species